rnacentral:rRNA from 1 species
CUAUCGGUACGGGUUGUGGGAGCAAGAUCCCGGAGAUGGAUUCUGAGACAUGAAUCCAGGCCCUACGGGGCGCAGCAGGCGCGCAAACUUUACAAUGCGAGCAAUCGUGAUAAGGAAACCCUGAGUGCCUGUCGAUGCAGGCUGUUCAUAUAUCUAAAUCAUAUGUGAAGAAAGGGCAGGGCAAGACCGGUGCCAGCCGCCGCGGUAAUACCGGCUGCUCGAGUGAUGGCCACUAUUACUGGGUUUAAAGCGUCCGUAGCUUGACUGUUAGGUCUCUUGGGAAAUCUUCGCGCUCAACGUGAAGGCGUCUAAGAGAUACCGGCAGUCUUGGAACUGGGAGAGGUAAACCGUACUUCGGGGGUAGGAGUGAAAUCUUGUAAUCCUCGAGGGACGACCUAUGGCGAAGGCAGUUUACCAGAACAGCUUCGACAGUGAGGGACGAAAGCUGGGGGAGCAAACGGGAUUAGAUACCCCGGUAGUCCCAGCCGUAAACAAUGCGCGUUAGGUGAGUAUUGGGAAUUCCUGCAGC